rnacentral:rRNA from 1 species
GGGUCCGGACAUACUGAGGAUUGACAGACAUCACCACGUCUUUUUGUCCUUAAAAAGACAAAAGAUAACAGAUCUUUCAUGAUUAUGUGGUGGGUGGUGCAUGGCCGUUCUUAGUUCGUGGAGUGAUCUGUCUGCUUAAUUGCGUUUCAAAUGUAUUUUUGAUUUAUCAAACGAGUCUACGAAGAUGUCUAUUCAUAACAAGCAUUUCAUUUAUGAUUUGUUUGGAAUACGGCUCUUUCGGCUCAAUUGAACGCAACGGACGUGAUUGCAAGUCCUUGUUGAACUUCUGUAUAUAUCAUUUACAUUCUUAACUGAGUGUAUCUAAGAUAAUAGAGUUCGCUUUCUAUUGGUGACGGGAUCUCCAAUCACUUUCGAGUGAGAGUGAGUGAUCUAAUCCUUUAGGAAAACUCGGGCGACCGCUGUAAUACUUUCUUUUUAAAACAGAGGAAGAUUGCGGCAAUAACAGGUCUGUGAUGCCCUCAGAUGUCCCGGGCCGCACACGUGCUACAUUGAUUAGCGCAGUGCGCAUACUUUCAAUAUGAUACAUUGGUUUUGGUAGUAAGCUAUUCAUCUGAUGGAUAUGCUACUCUCCAUACCAAUACUAUCUAGUCUGAAAAGACUGGG